UCACAGCCCUCACUGCAUGUGAGUGUGGUAUAACCAAGCCUUUAGAGCUGUCAGAUAAAACAGAAUUUGAAACCUGUAGCAAGCAGCAAACUAUGCUGUCACAGUCAGUCUAAAAAGCAUGGGAAGCACGUUAGAGAUUGUUGUGAAAGUAUAUUCUGUCUAAUCACAGCUACAGGCAGUGUCUUUCCAAAGCAACAAAUAAAUCAUCAGAAUGAAGGUCCCAUUUAACAGCAGAAAGUCAGGAGUUUAUAUGGUGUUUGCCUUCAAAGGGAUGGUAAAGCUUUUUUUUUUUUUUUCAUUAUUACAAUUGUCCUAAUGAGUGAAGUGUUUCAUUAUUAGCCCACAUCCCAAAGGCAAAUACUGCUUCUAGAAUUGGGACAUCUCAAAAUCAUAAGCAGCAAGGUAUUGUUCUUUUGCAGGGAGGUUUGUUUUGUUUGAGAAGACCAACAAACCUGUUACGUAUAUAACAUUGGACAAAGAUAAUUGCAGCUGGUGUAACAAUCGGUCCUUGUGUGCUGGUCUGGAGAGUGUGAGUCCAUUGUGACUGAAACAAGGUGCUGAAUCCUAUCCAGUUCGUAGUUCCCUCUUUUGAUCAAGGCUUCUGCUCCUCCGUUUCUUUCUUUGCAGAUACAGCUCCCAUAUAUGGCACUCGGAAGCAGAGGUAUUUGGUAUCCCAUGGGCUGCUUAGGCAUUCUGCCACCUGUGCCACACCUGUGCUAUACCUAUGCCACAGUCUACUGAAAUCUUUAAUGGAUCAAGUUCUUACUGGACAGGACAAUCUCUUGUAUGGCUGGAUGGCCAUAGCCAUCCCAACAGUCUGGUGGCAGAAUUGGAGUUCAGAUGAGAGUGCUCUUUAUUCAGUGACCCACAAUAAUUAAUGGGGCUUGAGGAUUGAUGACUCCCUUUCAGCUGCCAAGCCACAGGCAGAAUCUGACUUUCAAGAGGCAGGAAUUGUUCAAGGCAGCUGGUGGUAGCUGGGCAGUUUGGACAGAAGGUAAUGUCACUUACAUUCCUCACACUCUCAGUCAAUGCUCAAAUUUGAUAUGUUAUAAAUGCUCAAAUGUAUGUUAAAAGGUCCAGCUACUGAAAAUCUACAUUGGAUUGUUGGUUAUUCAGUAUGGUCCUUCUACAAAAUUAUUUAACAGUUUGUAAGUCAUUUUCCAAAACAGUUUCCAAAAAUUCUAAACUAAUUUAUAUUACAGACAGAACAUUAGUCUGAGAUGGAGUGAUCUUGAUUUUCCUCUUUCCUGAUAUUUGUGGCUUUAUUCUGGUACUGGCCCAGGAAAACACACUCACUGUGCCUUUAAAGCACAGUUCAUGGUGAUUGUGUUACUACAUUGCUACUACACAUUGCUGGAUCAGGAUCAAGUUGCUCAGCAGUCUGCAGAAUUAAUGCCCAAGUGAAACGACAGUCAAACUCCCUUUGUUUUCAGAGUCAGAGAAGCAAAUUCUGCUUUGGUUAAGAAAACAAUUAUCAAUUUUAUUGUAUCCUUGUAGCACAUCAGAAAAUAGAGCAGGUGGCCAGCUUAAAGCCUGAUUGUUGGAAAGAGCACAGAUCAACUAGUUCCCCAUGAAAGAGAAUAUUACAGGGAAGGAAUUAAGAUAAUCAUAUAUAUUUUUGUUACUGAACAUAAAACUGGCAAAAAGUUUACUGUAUGGUCCUAACAAUGCAAGAAUUCGUUUACUUUCCUAUUAGUUAGGUCUCAAAAGCGAAAAGGAUAGCUUGGCAUUGGAAAUCCCUCUAGCAUUUCAGUUUGGGAAUAGUCAGUAUUCUUUCAACUUAAUCAGAAUGCAGUAGAAUAUAUGGUGCAACACUGCAGAAAUGCUGUUGAUGUUGCACACUUCAUAUUACAUAUUACAUUUCACCUAUUGUCAUGCUAGAGGCCCAUUGUAAAUUAAUUUGGCAGAUAAAUUUAUGAUGGCAAUUUGCCUUCCAGUUGUACAAUUUAUUCAUGUCAGAAAUAAUUUAUUAUAUUGUCCCUUAAGCCAUUUUUUUUUUCUUCCUAGGGUACCACCUUAGUAAAUAAAAUCUAUUGUUUACACUGAGCCUUGUGUGACUUCACAGUGGUCAGUCAAUAACCUCAGGGGGAUAGUUUUGGUCACAUUACUGGUCACUUAUUUGUAUAGAUGAUGGAGCACUCUGGUCCCAUCUGUACAUGUACUACUUUCCUUUGUCUUAGAGGCACUGUUGGAAAGAUUAAUUAGGUCCAUCUGUAGGAAAGUAUCAGCCUUCAGGGAUUCAGGUAAAUAAAAUAAAUGCCAAGGGGAAAAAGUGCUGAGGGGCAUGUUUUGAAAGUCAAACUGGUUUUCAUAACGUUAAUGGGGAAAUUACACAGAGAAGGAGAUUGAAAGAAAAGUAAAACUGUCACGUAGUCUGGAUUAUUUCAGCAUGACCUGAUAAACAUCUCCUAUUGCUGCUGUGGUAGGAAAAAGGAUCUAUGAAGUGGACUAAAGGAAAAGUCCAUGGGCAACAUUCUCAGCUAAUAUAAAUCAGUAUAACUGUCUGAUCUUCACUUUAUAACAGUAGAGACUUGAGUCAUGUCUGCCAGAGUGAUGUUAUUUCUGUCCUUAAUUUGCAUGAUCCAAUAUGCAGUAAACUGAUCUGAUUCACAUUCUGUCUUAAUUUUUUUUUAUUAUAGUGGUGCUAUGUACCUUAUGGGUCUUACAUCACACCUCUGUUCUCUUUUCCUUUAAGCUUCUUUCUAUAUUUUCUUCCAUAUCUUUCCUUUCCUCUCCUUCAAAGAGUUCAGCAUGCAAAUGAGUCUCAUAGCAUUGAGCUAACUGAUAUGAUCACAGAUUGUAAAAGAGAAACUCAGCUCUUACUGACUUUUAUAUAAUUUAUUAGUUUGUAUGUAAUUAAUUGGUGUAACAAGUACAUAAACCGUGUGAAAUUUGUUGCCACUCUGUUGUCUUACCAGCCUAAGUGGGGAUUUGUGUUCCACCAUGCAAUGGAGUUACAAUUCACAAUGUUUUCAUGAAACACCAAAUGGAAAAACAGAAAGAUAAUUUUUCACUGAGCUUUGGCUGUCUUAAGAGAUGUUUUGCUUUUAAACUUUUGUUGGGGCAAAGUUAGGUUCCUUUUGACUUUGGAGUUUAACUCAUUAUGACUUCUAAAUUAAUUAGUAAAGCUAUAGAAACAUGAAGGCUUAUUUUUGAGAACAAGAGAAAAACCAUAAAUUAUUUAAAAGAAAAGAGAAGCAGCAUGCAGAAAGGAUACAAAAGAAGUGUAACUCACAGAUUAAGGGGGGAAUGACUGUUGGUGAUCAGUUCAACUACUGUGUGUACAUGAAGAACUAACUAUGUGUGAGAGGGAAGUCACUGGCUCUGGAAAUGCACAUGCUUGUCUACUGCCCGUGCUGGCAAGUAGACCCUCACUCUCAGAGGGGAGCAACUUCUUCUGGAGUUGAACUUCGAAGUCUAAUUCUGAAUAGUUGCUAAGUCUGCAUUACACAGUGCUGGAAGGAAACUGCCUCUCUGUAUGAAUAAGGUCUGAAUCUGUACACAUUGCCACAGAGAGGUAGUUAGACACUCUGGAGUGUAACUGGGUUUUUGUUUUAGAAGCUGUAUUGUGUAGGUAGAACAGUGCCUCAUGGUAUUUAGGUAAGAUUAUAACAUAAAUCAAAAUGUAAUUUAAUAUCUCUGUAUUUAGGAUAAAUAGUUCAAUGUGCUGCCAUUGCAGAAUAGAGUCGUUAUUGUCUGAAGGCACUUCUUCUUUCCAGCCUGAUGCACUUUCUAGAUGAAGGGUAUUUUGAAGGCUCCCUCUUGGUCCUCAUGGAACAGGUCUAUGGCCACGAUGCAACACACGUCCUACAUCUUAGAGACACUCAGAUCACAUCUGCUGGGAUAGUUCUUGUUUGUAUCCGUGGGUCAACAAACAAAAGAGCUUAAAUAGUCCUUUAAAGAAGAAAUUGCCCUUCCUUAAAAUCUUCUGAGCCGAUUUAUUUUCUCAUGUAGAGAUAGGAGUUCCCAUCUGGUUUAUGCUGCUCAUACUCAUUGUCAUGGGUAGCUAAGGACUUUGUCCUGCAAAGAAUGAGCCAUAACACUUCCACUGGGCUCCAGGUAUGCACAUUCUGCAGGAUUCUGGAAGCAAAGCAUGUAGCAUGUUUUCAGUUGUGCAGUUGGGAAGUUGAAACUGAGGAUCUGAGCAGGGCUUUUCUUCAGUGUUUCAUACAGUAUACGGGCUUGCUAUGUGUUUGUUGGGCCUGCAGCCUUACAUUUGAAAAUCUUAAACCUACUUGCAAUAGGAAAUUGUUUGUCUGUCUUUUUUUUCAAAAGUGUUUUUCUUUGAGGCAAUUUGAAAUUUUAAACGAAGCAUUUCAUAUGGAGAUGAAUUUAUUGUCAUUUACUAAAAUAACUGAAGAAUGCUUCAUACUCUGGUUUUUGUUUGGGGUUUGUGUUGCUCUGUUUCUCUUUUUAGAGAAACCCUGUUAUUGGAAACAUAUAUUCCUCUCUGAAAUGUUCAUUUCCUGGAAAAAACCAGAUUUUUCAUCAAAAUAUUUCCAUUAAAGAGCUAUGCCAGGUCUCCGGGGUGUUCUUCUGGAAAGGCAGAAACAAAAAUCAAUAGAAAAAGAGUGACAGUCAACAGACAAAUACUUGAUUGUUCUCUAUGGUUCUUACUCAGGUGAAGUUCUUCCUGGAAUAACAAAUUACAGCAAAUUUCAGCAUGUAUAGAAUCCUGCCUAACAUACUAAAGUAACUCCCAGAACUAUUCAUUUUCCAGGAGUAAAUACAUUUUAUACAUAACUCAAGUAACCUACGUGUUCAUUUUACAGAAUCUAACAAGUGAAGAAUAAUUGUGAAUGUACUGUGAAGUUGGUUCAGCAAAGGUUUUCCUAUAAUUAAAAUACAUCUGGCUCUGUCCUGUGUGGGAAAUCACAGGCCUCUGAAUGUUUUGACUAUUUCCUUAUGCACAAGAGCAGCAGAAAAACUCCAUACACUUUAACCUGUCAAAUUCUGUUCCAUUUUAUCAUGUGGAUAAAUCAGCUGCGAUAAGGAACUUUAAUCUAGCAUCUUUGAUCUGAAAUGAGGGAUUCAAAGCAAAGACAAUGGAAACGGUCACAGAAAGUAUGAGAGGCUCAGAACAACACUCUAAUCUUCAGCACACUGGUGCUAAUUUAAGUGUAAAAUAGCUUGCUGUGUUUCCCCAUAGAACUUGUGACCGCCACGGGCACUGUUCUUCCUGAUGCCAGUUCUGCACCUACAUCCUCCUGCUGCCAGAGGUGCCACAGAGCCCUGGGAGUGCUUUAGGCACCGUGUAUCUCUGUCCUUCACCCUUCUCGAAGGGGAGACUUGGCUCAGGGCAGUGACAUCUUCUUUAUAACAGUUCCUUGUCCUGGAAAGUGUUCUGCUCCGUGCCACCCCUUGGACCUGCUGGCUGUCCCAGGGAGCAGUGCUGGGGCAGGUUGGCAGCUGGGAGGCCCGUGCAUGCAGGGGCUCGCGGUGAGGUGUGAUGGGCUGCUGUGCCUCGGCCCUGCCGUGGUGGGGUCAGCCCAGCGUGAGCUGGA